GUGCUCACUUCAGCAGCACAUCUACUAAAAUUAGAAUGGUACAGAGAAAAUUAGCAUGGCUCCUGUGAAAGGAUGACUUGCAAAUUCUUGAAGCAGUUCAUAUUCUU
ensembl:snRNA U6 U6 spliceosomal RNA